rnacentral:misc_RNA from 1 species
CAGGUACGUCAGCUCUUUCUUGGAAAGAAAAAAGUAAAGAUUGUCUGCUGAAAUGGCUAUAAAUAGAAAUUCUGAAACAAGUAGAAUUAUAUGAAGCCCUGAAAGCAAUGCAUGUCUCCUAAUACACCACUAACAAGGACAUUUGAAACCAAAAUGAAGCAAGAGCUAUUCUUUCAUUUGGAAGGGCCUGUGAAAGAACACAAAUGAAAAACCCGAGCUUUCAGAUAACAGUCUUGACAAAAGUAUAUUUAACUAAAUGACACCAUAGUGCCACUAGCACUAGCUCUCUUCAGAACACCACAAAAUAUCCCCUCUCACGUGUAGGAUAAGGGGGGAAAACUAUUAAUCCUAAAGCCAA